rnacentral:rRNA from 1 species
UUGAACGCUGGCGGCAUGCCUAACACAUGCAAGUCGAACGGUAACGCGGAGAGCUUGCUCUCUGGCGACGAGUGGCGGACGGGUGAGUAAUACUUAGGAAUCUGCCCAGUAGUGGGGGACAACAUUCGGAAACGGAUGCUAAUACCGCAUACGCACUACGGUGGAAAGUGGGGGACCUUCGGGCCUCACGCUAUUGGAUGAGCCUAAGUCGGAUUAGCUUGUUGGUGAGGUAAUAGCUCACCAAGGCGACGAUCCGUAGCUGGUCUGAGAGGACGAUCAGCCACACUGGGACUGAGACACGGCCCAGACUCCUACGGGAGGCAGCAGUGGGGAAUAUUGGACAAUGGGCGCAAGCCUGAUCCAGCAAUGCCGCGUGUGUGAAGAAGGCCUGCGGGUUGUAAAGCACUUUCAGUCGGGAAGAAAAGCUCAAGGUUAAUACCCUUGGGUCUUGACGUUACUGACAGAAGAAGCACCGGCCAACUCCGUG